rnacentral:rRNA from 1 species
GACGAACGCUGGCGGCGUGCUUAACACAUGCAAGUCGAACGGAAAGGCCCUGCUUUUGUGGGGUGCUCGAGUGGCGAACGGGUGAGUAACACGGGAGUAACCUGCCCUUGACUUUGGGAUAACUUCAGGAGACUGGGGCUAAUACCGGAUAGGAGCUCCUGCUGCAUGGUGGGGGUUGGAAAGUUUAGGCGGUUGUGGAUGGACUCGCGGCUUAUGAGCUUGUGGGUUGGGUAGUGGCUUACCAAGGCUUUGACGGGUAGGCGGCAUGAGAGGGUGGCCGGGGACAUUGGGCCUGAGAGACGGACCAGACUCCUACGGGAGGCAGCAGUCGGGAAUAUUGCACAAUGGGGGGACGCCUGAUGCAGAAGCGCCGCGUGCGGGAUGAAGGCCAUCGUGUUGUAAACCGCUUUAGCCUGAGACGUAGCGUGAGUGACGGUAAUGGGUAAAGAAGCACCGGCUAACUACGUG